ensembl:snRNA U6 U6 spliceosomal RNA
GUGUUUGCUUUGUCAGCACAUAUACUAAAUUUGGAACUAUACAGAGAGGUUUAAAAUGACUCCUCCACAAGGAUGACAUGCAAAUUCAUGAAGCGUUCCAUAUUUUU